UGCGUAGGCGGUCGGCAAAGUCUAAUGUGAAAUCUCCGGGCUCAACCCGGAAACUGCAUCGGAUACUGGUCGGCUAGAGGAUUGGAGGGGGGAGUGGAAUUCUCGGUGUAGCAGUGAAAUGCGUAGAUAUCGAGAGGAACACCAGUGGCGAAGGCGACUCCCUGGACAAUUCCUGACGCUGAGGCACGAAAGCUAGGGGAGCAAACA
rnacentral:rRNA from 1 species